rnacentral:rRNA from 1 species
UGGGGAAUUUUGCACAAUGGGGGAAACCCUGAUGCAGCGACGCCGCGUGAUUUAGAAGGCCUUCGGGUUGUAAAAAUCUUUUUUACGGGAUGAAAAUGACAGUACCGUAAGAAUAAGGUCCGGCUAAAUACGUGCCAGCAGCCGCGGUAAUACGUAUGGACCGAGCGUUGUCCGGAAUCAUUGGGCGUAAAGGGUACGUAGGCGGCCUAGUAAGUUAGAAGUGAAAUAAUAUAGCUCAACUAUAUAAAGCUUUUAAAACUGCUAGGCUUGAGGGAUGGAAGGGAAAGUGGAAUUCCUAGUGUAGCGGUGAAAUGCGCAGAUAUUAGGAAGAAUACCGGUGGCGAAGGCGACUUUCUGGUCAUCAUCUGACGCUGAAGUACGAAAGCGUUGGUAGCAAACAGG